AAAAAGACAAACUCUGGCUUUUCGUGCCAACGUUUGACUGUCCGUCUUAUAUGAAAUUUUUUUAUAAUUAGUAUUUUCAUUAUUGUUACAUGAUAAAACAUGAUUAAUACUUUAUGCGUGACUUAUCUUUUUAAUUUUUUUCAUAAUUUUUUAAAUAAGACGGACGGUCAAAUGUUGGACACGGAAACCAGGGUUUGUCUUUUU
rfam:Oryza glumipatula chromosome 11, whole genome shotgun sequence.